GCACUGUUUUUGAACUGGUGAGUUGCCUGAAUGUGGUGUCACCGGCCAAGCAUCAGUGCAAGAAUAAUCUGCGUGUUAUAACUGGUGCCUCACAGCCGUCUCCUGUGUGGCGCUUUUAAAACAAUGCUACAAAU